AUGCGAUAAGUAAUGUGAAUUGCAGAAUUCAGUGAAUCAUCGAAUCUUUGAACGCACCUUUCGCUCCUUGGUAUUCCUUGGAGCAUGCCUGUUUGAGUAUCAUGAAAUCUUCAAAGUAAAUCUUUUGUUAACUCAAUUGGUUUCUACUUUGGUAUUGGAGGUCUUUGCAGCUUCACACCUGCUCCUCUUUGUUCAUUAGCUGGAUCUCAGUGUUAUGCUUGGUUCCACUCGGCGUGAUAAGUUAUCUAUCGCUGAGGACACUGUAAAAGGUGGCCAAGGUAAAUGCAGAUGAACCGCUUCUAAUAGUCCAUUGACUUGGACAAUACUUUUAUGAUCUGAUCUCAAAUCAGGUAGGACUACCCGCUGAACUUAAGC
rnacentral:misc_RNA from 1 species